UGCAAGAUCAAAGCAAAUGAAAACACAUCCACCUUGGUAUCGUAUUCUUCAUUUUUAUAAACUUCUGGAGCCACAUAUCGCCCUAAGCACAAGCAUCCAUAGAUAAGUAAAAUAUCAUCUUUAAAGACAAAUCCAAAAUCCUGAAAGUAAAGGGUAUUUGUAUAUUCAACAGUAUGGCAGCAGCAGCUAACACUAUCCAA